CAAAGUCCAAAUAAAGUCGUCCAUCUCCCAUACAAUGGAGAGAAAUUUCAGGGUUCACGAAGUACUAGACCGAAAAGCUAUGAUACCUUCGUAUAAUGUUACCUUGCAUUCUACUACACAUCAAAACUCUAGUUCUCCGCUACUGUUGCUAUGAGUUACAAGCUACUGUUUAUACAAAUAUAAACAUGAAAAAAUCAGACUCUGGCAGGAAAAGGAAAUGGUCCCCGAUUAUUUGCGGUCGUCAGCCUUUCCAACGACUCUCCGGUUACUAAUCGAUUAAUUGUAUGAACGCUCCCUGAUUAUCUGCAGUUGCCUGCCUUUCUGGUCGCUAAUCAUUCUGGUUGCUGCUUGAUCCAUCGAUAGCUUCUGUCGGGUUGACUUUUGGCCGCAUCCCUGCAAAACUCUGGUUUUGCACUAGCCGAUGUGCGACCGCACAAUGGUUACUGCCCAUACCGGCCACUCCUUGAUUCCGCUUCAGAAACUCUCUGGCUUGACUACGUUCUACGACCGCGGCUCAUUCUCCGAUCAACGAUAGUUCUUUUUCUUCCGCAUAAUAAACCGCUAUUUAAGUUUA